CCAAGGGAAUGUGCAAGUGUGGAGGCAGAAUAAUUCAUGUGCUCAAAACAUUUUCCACGAUGUGUUUUUUUCAGGUUAAUGUCAAGACCUCACGGUGACUUUAUCAAUGAUAACGAAUGUGGGACAUUGCUGGAAUGGAGGUAAGUGAUCCUGUGGGUCUAAACCACAGCACAUACCAUCCAGCUUUCAUAAAUCGAGGUAAAUGCUGAGUGUCCUUACACUUCCUGUUACCAUGAAUUUUUUGAAGGUGUGCGGGUAAGAAAUGAUAGAGUCCUUACCAAUUCCAAAGACCCUGUUUCUCUGCUUUCUGUAUUUCAGGACAUGUUCAUUUUUAAUCCUCUGAGUGUUGAGGGACUGCACGUAUACAGGUAUUUAUCAUGAUAUUGCCUGUCAAAGUCCUACUCAUAGGCUAUUUGCAGGUGUCCAAUCAUAGAAUGAUGGUCUUAUCCGAUACUGGUAUUAACCUUGGAUUACUGUAAGUAUCCAGUAGAGUUGAUGUGUCUCAUGAUGAUGAAGUGAACACUGUUAUUUGCAGGUUUCCUGGUAGGAAAAAGCUAUGUCCUUCAACACACGCUCAUAAUGUCUUUCCAGCUUCCAGUCACGAAUUGAUGAAUCUAACAUUGCUCAUCAGUGGGGAUGUUCCUAGUGUGCAGGUAAGUGAUGACGUGGGCCUAGACCCACGUCUAGCUGGGUAAGUGAUGAAGGUUUCCCUAACAAUUGUUACCAUUUUUCUUUGCAAGUAUUCAGGUAGGAAAUAGUCGUUACCAAUUCUGGAAACCCUGAGUUUUUUCUUUUUAUAUUUUAGAGAAAAUUUUAUUUUAUUCUUGUGUGUGAUGAGGGGUUGCCAUAUUCAGGUAGUGAUCAUGAUGUUUCUAACCCUAGCCAUAACCAUGGGAAUUUUGCAUGUGUUUCAUAAUGAAAUGUUGUUAUAUCUGAUCAUGAUCUUGACCUUGGUUGGAAUACUGCAAAUAUUUAGGUGGAAUUGAUGUUCUACUGAUGAAGGAAGCGUCUAAGGUAAUUAAUUUGAGGUUUCUUGCUGCAAGUUCUGUCUUUUUACACAUCCGUAAUGUGUUUUUCAGAUUCCUGCCGAAAGAUCAAGAUGAAACCAAUGGUUAAUGGGGGACAUUUCUGGUAUCCAGAUAGGUUAUGACGUAUACCUUCACCACAUCAGACCAUCUGAUCGUCACAUAUCUAGGUAUCCCUUCAAGAGAGGAAAGUGUGUCUGACUAGGGUUUAACUUCAGAGUUCUGGAAGUGUCCAGGUAAUGUUUAUGGGUCUCCAAAGGAUACAAGUGACCAGGGAAUUUGCAGGUGCGUGGGUAGAAUGAGACAUGUCCCAAACGUAAACCACAGUAUGUCUUUCAGAA